rnacentral:lncRNA from 1 species
AAGUACCUGAUGCCAGUAGCACUUCUCCCACAGCUGUGACAAGCAAAACCAAAUAUUUCCAGCUAUUGCCAAAUAUCCUCGGUGGCGGAGGGUGGGGCAAGUGUUGGAUAGUCUGUAAAAUCUCCUCCAAUUGAGAAUCACUGUUGUCGAUGAGUAUCUGCUAGCACCUUUGUCUUCAGAUCUGCUUCCGCACAUCUACACCUUCAUGCAAUUUCUUCCAGACUUUCUGGAAAUCAUCUGCAUCUAAGGUGCCUUGAUCAGAGAGCACACACGUAGCCUGAUGGUUUGGCAAACCCGUAUUUUUGCCUUGUUCACUGGGUGCAGUGGGUCACUGUCUACUAUGUCCACCUUCAGAGCAUACCUCUGUUGAAGGUAUUAAAAUGUGAGAGGGUCAGAGAGGGCAGUAAAGACAAUAUAGGAAAGAAGGCAAUCCUUGAGGAGAAUAAGGUAAUAUUCAGGUGUGCCUGAGAAAGACCUUCAUGAUGCUAUGCUGUGUGUCUCUGCGUAUCUGGUGCAUACUGGUGUAAGAGUCCCUUACACAUUCAGGUGCAAGAGGGAUGACUUCCAAUUACCAGCAAAUAAGAUUCUUUGCCUUUUCUUUUUCUUUUCUUUUUUUCCGGCCACAGAACCAUGUGCAGCUCAUGAGCAGGGACUGAAUGUAGGUGCUAGGAAACUAGUUUUCUGAGAACAACCCACAGUCUUUGAUGGAUGGAAACUGGCAGAUAAUGCUUUCAGCUCUCUUGUCCCUUGAUGAAUGGGAGUUAGUAAAUAAUGAUUCCAGCUCCCUCCACCUUUCAUCAGGAUCAUCAGGAUAUCCCUGCCAGUUCCCCCAAGCAGGAUUGAGCUCCAGCUGGCCACAGUGGUAACAUGGUGGCCUCCUCUUGUUUGUUUCACUUCCCUACUUCGCUACAGAGUUUCCUCUGAUCAUUGCAGAAUAAAUUGCUUUCCCUUGAAUCCUGUUUAGGCGGUUGGUUCUGAGGAAAACUAAUGCAAGAGGAUGUGGUGGGAUAUGGAUUUGUGCUGUUACAUUGGGCUCCUGUAUGCCCCAAGACCGUGAAGAUCAUCUUGAGAGAAUCCAAAUCCAUUGGGCUUCUCCUGGUCCAAGUAUUAUGUGCUCAGAAAGAAUACUUUCUCCAGUUACACACAAGAGAAUUUAGUCUUUUCUUCCUUGCUAGGAUUUGCAAAACAAUACAUAUUUUCAAAGAGUAAACAACAUAACAUAACUAGAUGAUGUUUUCUUAGUCUAUUUUGUCAUUUACUCAGAUAGGCACAAAAUGUUGCAUGGUAAUUCAAAGCUCUUUUAAUCUUAUAAGGUUAUAUUCUAGGAACAAAUAAUUUACAAUGGCUGUAUAAUGGGGAAAAGAUAAUUCUAUAGGAUUCUGAAACACCAAAGACACAAAAUAAGUCAUCCUAGAGGAGGAAAUGCACUUGUUUUACUUUUUAAACAUAGUUUACUCAUAUUUCCAGUUGAUAAAAUAUAAUGCCUUUUACUCUAAUGUCCAAGUUUGAGAAUCUCUCCACAUACAACUCUUUAGGAUGUUCACAUCAAAAUUCAACCAGAAAUGAUUUUACAGGAUGAAUUGAGCUGAUUGUGAAAAAGUGCAGUGAAAAAUGUAUAUGCGAACUACAAAUAUUGAAUGGACAAUGAGUGGUAGGAA